rnacentral:rRNA from 1 species
UGGGGAAUAUUGCACAAUGGGCGAAAGCCUGAUGCAGCGACGCCGCGUGCGGGAUGAAGGCCUUCGGGUUGUAAACCGCUUUUGAUUGGGAGCAAGCGAGAGUGAGUGUACCUUUCGAAUAAGCACCGGCUAACUACGUGCCAGCAGCCGCGGUAAUACGUAGGGUGCAAGCGUUAUCCGGAAUUAUUGGGCGUAAAGAGCUCGUAGGCGGUUUGUCGCGUCUGGUGGGAAAGUCCAUCGCUUAACGGUGGAUCUGCGCCGGGUACGGGCAGGCUAGAGUGCGACAGGGGAGACUGGAAUUCCCGGUGUAACGGUGGAAUGUGUAGAUAUCGGGAAGAACACCAAUGGCGAAGGCAGGUCUCUGGGUCGUCACUGACGCUGAGGAGCGAAAGCGUGGGGAGCGAACA